GAUGAACGCUGGCGGCGUGCCUAAUACAUGCAAGUCGAACGGACAGGCCCUGCUCUUGCGGGGCUCUCGUGUGGCGAAGGGGUGAGUAAAACGCGAGUAUCCCGUCCCUGACUUUGGGAUAAAUUUAGGAAACUGGGGAUAUUAUCGGAUAGGAGCUCCUGAUCCACGGUGGGGGUUGGAAAGAUUCGGCGGUUGUGGAUGGUCUCGCUGCUUAUCAGCUUGUUGGUGUGGUAGUGGCUUACAAAGGUUUUGACGGAUAGCCGGCCUGAGAGGGUGACCGGCCACAUUGGGACUGAGAUACGGCCCAGACUCCUACGGGAGGCAGCAGUGGGGAAUAUUGCACAGUAGGCGGAAGCCUGAUGCAGCGACGCCGCGUGCGGGAUGACGGCCUUCGGGUUGUAAACCGCUUUCGCCUGUGACGAAGCGUGAGUGACGGUAAUGGGUAAAGAAGCACCGGCUAACUACGUG
rnacentral:rRNA from 1 species